rnacentral:rRNA from 1 species
AGCGAACGCUGGCGGCAGGCUUAACACAUGCAAGUCGAGCGGGCAUAGCAAUAUGUCAGCGGCAGACGGGUGAGUAACGCGUGGGAACGUACCUUUUGGUUCGGAACAACUGAGGGAAACUUCAGCUAAUACCGGAUAAGCCCUUACGGGGAAAGAUUUAUCGCCGAAAGAUCGGCCCGCGUCUGAUUAGCUAGUUGGUGAGGUAAUGGCUCACCAAGGCGACGAUCAGUAGCUGGUCUGAGAGGAUGAUCAGCCACAUUGGGACUGAGACACGGCCCAAACUCCUACGGGAGGCAGCAGUGGGGAAUAUUGGACAAUGGGCGCAAGCCUGAUCCAGCCAUGCCGCGUGAGUGAUGAAGGCCCUAGGGUUGUAAAGCUCUUUUGUGCGGGAAGAUAAUGACGGUACCGCAAGAAUAGCCCGAGCUAUCACUUGCCCUGCUCCCGGUUUUCUUAGAGGGGCUCGCCCUGUUAGCUUCUCGGUGCGUCCGGGUUGAUU